UCCCCUAGUAACUGCGAGUGAAGAGGGAAAAGCCCAGCACCGAAGCCUGUAGUCAAUUGAUUAUUAGGCAAUGUGGUGUUUAGGUGUGUUCAUUGCGUACUGCUUUACCCUAAGUCCAAUUACGAAUGUGGCAAUUGGAUUAGCCCAGAGAGGGUGUAAGGCCCGUGUGGGUAGAGCUCAGACAUGACAGUAUAAAAGCGCUGAACACACCUUGGAGUCGGGUUGUUUGUGAAUGCAGCCCAAAGUAGGUGGUAAACUCCAUCUAAGGCUAAAUACUAACACGAGUCCGAUAGCGAACAAGUACCGUGAGGGAAAGUUGAAAAGUACUUUGAAGAGAGGGUAAAUAGUGCGUGAAACCGCUCAAAGGUAAACGGGUGGAGUUGAACUGGAAGCCCAGAGAAUUCAGCUGAUAAGUAUGCCGUGUUGGCGUUGUCAUUGGAGUCUGCUCAGUGGCAGGUCUCUGCUCCUUGUGGGUGGAGAUGCGUUAUACACCUAACAAGUGUUGCGUGCUCGAAUGGCUUAGUGGGUCAGCUUGUCAGUGCACUUUCUUUGGGUGUUCACCACGACCGGCAUUGCUGUCGGUCUGCUAUGGUUAAACCGAUUGAGUCGGGUACUUGUACCAGGUUGAAUCGGGAUGGCAGGUGGCUCAUUUGUUCUUAUUGCUUUCGGGUGGUAAUAGCUUGUGAGUUUAAUCAGCUGACUGUAGUGGAUCUGUGCAGUAUGUCGGAGAUGACGGGAGCCAGUUGGGGCAUUGUGGUUGGUUAGAGUGUUCAGGUUUGAUUGGCGUUACUUGCUUCAUUGUGGGUGCGUUGAUAGCUUGGAUAUUUUAAUUGAUGGCAGUGUUUUCUACUGGAGCCAAGAGUCUGUGGUGUUGCGGUAGACUAUCCACCUGACCCGUCUUGAAACACGGACCAAGGAGUUUAACAUGUAUGCGAGUCAUUGGGCAUUACGAAACCCACAGGCGCAGUUAAAGUAAAGGCUGAUAUAUUCCCAGUCAGUCAGGGUGAGAUCUUGUUACUUUGAAGUAUUUUGUUAUUUGUUCUCUUCUUCUUUACGGAGGGGAGGGGGGCGAAUGAUAGGAUAUGGACAGUGCAGGCGCAUCACCGGCCCGUCUAACAAUGUGUCUGCCAUUGGGACGGAGCUUGAGCAUACAUGUUGAGACCCGAAAGAUGGUGAGCUAUGCUUGCGCAGGUUGAAGCCAGAGGAAACUCUGGUGGAGGACCGCAGCGAUUCUGACGUGCAAAUCGAUCGUCUAACGUGAGUAUAGGGGCGAAAGACUAAUCGAACCAUCUAGUAGCUGGUUCCCUCUGAAGUUUCCCUCAGGAUAGCUGGCGUUCGCUAACAGUUUUAUCCGGUAAAGCGAAUGACUAGAGGUAUUGGGGAUAAAACAUCCUCAACCUAUUAUCAAACUUUAAAUGGGUGAGAAGUACAGCUCGCUUAAAUGGAGCGGAGCAUUGAAUGUGAGUGCCAAGUGGGCCAUUUUUGGUAAGCAGAACUGGCGCUGUGGGAUGAACCAAACGUUCGGUUAAGGUGCCUAAUGUGACGCUCAUGAGAUCCCACAAAAGGUGUUAGUUGGUCCAGACAGCAGGACGGUGGCCAUGGAAGUUGGAAUCCGCUAAGG
rnacentral:rRNA from 1 species